GGUAAACGCUGGCGGCGUGCCUAAAACAUGCAAGUCGAACGGGCAGUCUUCGGAUUGUCAGUGGCAGACGGCUGAGUAACGCGUGGGUGACGUACCUAUCGGUGGGGAAUAACUGCCCGAAAGGGUGGCUAAUACCGCAUACGUCCACUGCUUCGUGGCAGUGGGGAAAACCGCAAGGUGCCGAUGGAGCGGCCCGCGUUCGAUUAGCUGGUUGGUGGGGUAACGGCCUACCAAGGCGACGAUCGAUAGCUGGUCUCAGAGGAUGAUCAG
rnacentral:rRNA from 1 species